GCCUGUAAGACUGGGAUAACUCCGGGAAACCGGGGCUAAUACCGGAUGCUUGAUUGAACCGCAUGGUUCAAUCAUAAAAGGUGGCUUUUAGCUACCACUUACAGAUGGACCCGCGGCGCAUUAGCUAGUUGGUGAGGUAACGGCUCACCAAGGCGACGAUGCGUAGCCGACCUGAGAGGGUGAUCGGCCACACUGGGACUGAGACACGGCCCAGACUCCUACGGGAGGCAGCAGUAGGGAAUCUUCCGCAAUGGACGAAAGUCUGACGGAGCAACGCCGCGUGAGUGAUGAAGGUUUUCGGAUCGUAAAACUCUGUUGUUAGGGAAGAACAAGUACCGUUCGAAUAGGGCGGCACCUUGACGGUACCUAACCAGAAAGCCACGGCUAACUACGUGCCAGCAGCCGCGGUAAUACGUAGGUGGCAAGCGUUGUCCGGAAUUAUUGGGCGUAAAGCGCGCGCAGGCGGUUUCUUAAGUCUGAUGUGAAAGCCCCCGGCUCAACCGGGGAGGGUCAUUGGAAACUGGGGAACUUGAGUGCAGAAGAGGAGAGUGGAAUUCCACGUGUAGCGGUGAAAUGCGUAGAGAUGUGGAGGAACACCAGUGGCGAAGGCGACUCUCUGGUCUGUAACUGACGCUGAGGCGCGAAAGCGUGGGGAGCGAACAGGAUUAGAUACCCUGGUAGUCCACGCCGUAAACGAUGAGUGCUAAGUGUUAGAGGGUUUCCGCCCUUUAGUGCUGCAGCAAACGCAUUAAGCACUCCGCCUGGGGAGUACGGUCGCAAGACUGAAACUCAAAGGAAUUGACGGGGGCCCGCACAAGCGGUGGAGCAUGUGGUUUAAUUCGAAGCAACGCGAAGAACCUUACCAGGUCUUGACAUCCUCUGACAACCCUAGAGAUAGGGCUUCCCCUUCGGGGGCAGAGUGACAGGUGGUGCAUGGUUGUCGUCAGCUCGUGUCGUGAGAUGUUGGGUUAAGUCCCGCAACGAGCGCAACCCUUGAUCUUAGUUGCCAGCAUUCAGUUGGGCACUCUAAGGUGACUGCCGGUGACAAACCGGAGGAAGGUGGGGAUGACGUCAAAUCAUCAUGCCCCUUAUGACCUGGGCUACACACGUGCUACAAUGGGCAGAACAAAGGGCAGCGAAGCCGCGAGGCUAAGCCAAUCCCACAAAUCUGUUCUCAGUUCGGAUCGCAGUCUGCAACUCGACUGCGUGAAGCUGGAAUCGCUAGUAAUCGCGGAUCAGCAUGCCGCGGUGAAUACGUUC
rnacentral:rRNA from 1 species